rnacentral:rRNA from 1 species
UACAGAGGGUGCAAGCGUUAAUCGGAAUUACUGGGCGUAAAGCGUGCGUAGACGGUUAUGUAAGUCGGGUGUGAAAGCCCCGGGCUCAACCUGGGAAUUGCAUUCGAGACUGUGUAGCUAGGGUACGGAAGAGGGAGCGGAAUUUCAGGUGUAGCGGUGAAAUGCGUAGAUAUCUGAAGGAACACCAGUGGCGAAAGCGGCUUCCUGGUCCAGUACCGACGUUCAGGCACGAAAGCGUGGGGAGCAAACAGG